GUCUGUGUUCUAUUCAGGAGAGGAACUCUAGGACCUACACUGUCUGUGUUCUAUUCAGGAGAGGAACUCUAGGUACUACACUGUCUGUGUUCUAUUCAGGAGAGGAACUCUAGGACCUACACUGUCUGUGUUCUAUUCAGGAGAGGAACUCUAGGUACUACACUGUCUGUGUUCUAUUCAGGAGAGGAACUCUAGGACCUACACUGUCUGUGUUCUAUUCAGGAGAGGAACUCUAGGUACUACACUGUCUGUGUUCUAUUCAGGAGAGGAACUCU